ACCUGUUUCCAUCCUUUUCCACUCUGUUUUACUGAACGUCAUCUGUGUUCCAUUAGGCUCUCGUAGAAUAAUGAUGAUGGACUUGUCUUGUUCUUUUGAAAUACGAUUCUGGGUAGAAGGACACCUGAAGAAGCUGUAGUUAGAAUGUCAAGAAAAAAAAAAUCAAGAAAAGGAACAGAUUCAGUGAAGAAACAUUCACCUGAGCUGCAAAUUGAUCUAAGACAAGAAGGAAAAGCUCAGGUUCCUAUCAAAUAUUAUUGAAUAAAUCAUGGAACAUCUGUUAAAUUUAGAUUUUGUUUACCAAAGAGUAUGUUUGAAAACAGCAAACCACAUCAUCUGAUGUGAAUUGUCUAAUACACCAAAUCUGUAUUUAAUCCUGUUGAAGCUCAGCUUCAGUUGACUUCUGUGAAGCAGCCUUUGGACAAUUUUUCUCAAUGUGAGGCGGAAAUUAGGGAUGUUCGAUAAUGUUGGCCAACAGAUAUUAGCAUAGGGUGUGAAAAAAUAUGUUGGACGUGUGCGUGUGAGGGUAUAGAAAGCUGCCAAAAAAAAACCCAUUUCUGUCCGUCUUCAAACAGAGCAGCUGCGUCGUAACUGUCAAAACAUGCAGAACGAGCUCCGUGUGCUGCACCUCCAACUUCCACCCAUCGCCUUGAGACAUCCCUCCCCUGCUGCUCCUCCUGCCCUUCCAGCUCCGCCAGCUUCUCCUAGUCCGACGACUCCGCCUUCUAACCUUAUAAUAUAAGGCGCUCAGGCACUUCGGCAGUCGCAUUCUCUUAUCCUAGAGCGAGUGGUGGAUGUUGUUCUCCUGCUCCUCCACAGUGGACUGUGUGAGACAGUGUCAUGCUGUCCGUGGAACCAUGCGGUGGUCUGUUCUUCUGUACCAGCUCCUGGCUCUAGGUCUGGAGACCUUCGCUCAGGAUGACGUCACCGCUGCUCCUAUCAUUCCCCAGGACUGCAGUCUGCACUGUAUCCGACAGGUAAGCACCAACACCGCUGUUUGUAUUUGUUUGUUAGUUUGUGUGUGUGUUGACAUCCCGGUUCAUCUUUCAUUUCUACCGUAUUCUGCUGACAAUAUUUAGCAAAUCGUUCACUAAGUUUACGCUUGUUUCUGGCUGUCAAUACUUGUAGUUUUGUGUCGAUGUUAAGCCUGGUUUAAACUGACAGACUUCUUCUACAGCCAACGCGCUAUUUAUUUAUCUAAUUGCUUGAUUCAUUUAUACGCUUUCCCUUUUAAAUGACUGUGUUAGGUUACACACUGGCAGGCCAUCUCUAGUACACAUUUGAUUUGAUCUUGAGGACAAAUUUAAUUACACUAUCAGUUACUUCCAUGAAUGAAUAAUUUCAAAUGGGAUUUUAGAUUUAAGUUUCAUCGUUUUGUUGUGGAUUUUAUUAGUUAUU